rnacentral:rRNA from 1 species
CAGUAGCCGCGGUAAUACGUAGGGUGCAAGCGUUAAUCGGAAUUACUGGGCGUAAAGCGCACGUAGGCGGAUAUUUAAGUCAGGGGUGAAAUCCCAGAGCUCAACUCUGGAACUGCUUUUGAUACUGGGUAUCUUGAGUAUGGAAGAGGUGAGUGGAAUUCCGAGUGUAGAGGUGAAAUUCGUAGAUAUUCGGAGGAACACCAGUGGCGAAGGCGGCUCACUGGUCCAUCACUGACGCUGAGGUGCGAAAGCGUGGGGAGCAAACAGGAUUAGAUACCCCUGUAGUCCCUGUCUCUUAUAA